rnacentral:rRNA from 1 species
GAUUGUAAAAUUCUUUCACCGGGGACGAUAAUGACGGUACCCGGAGAAGAAUCCCCGGCUAACUUCGUGCCAACAGCCGCGGUAAUACGAAGGGGGCUAGCGUUGCUCGGAAUUACUGGGCGUAAAGGGAGCGUAAGCGGACAUUUAAGUCAGGGGUGAAAUCCCGGGGCUCAACCUCGGAAUUGCCUUUGAUACUGGGUGUCUUGAGUAUGAGAGAGGUGUGUGGAACUCCGAGUGUAAAGGUGAAAUUCGUAGAUAUUCGGAAGAACACCAGUGGCGAAGGCGACACACUGGCUCAUUACUGACGCUGAGGCUCGAAAGCGUGGGGAGCAAACAGGAUUAGAUACCCUGGUAGUCCACGCCGUAAACGAUGAUUGGUAGUUGUCGGGAUGCAUGCAUUUACGUGACGCAGCUAACGCACUAAGCAACCCCCCUGGGGAGUACGGUGGCA